rnacentral:rRNA from 1 species
CAUCCGCUCUGAGGAGGAAAGCAGGGGGACCUCCGGGGCCUUGCGUUAUUCGAGCGGCCAAUAUCUGAUUAGCUAGUUGGUGGGGGUAAAGGCCUACCAAGGCGACGAUCAGUAGCGGGUCCUGAGAGGAUGAUCCGCCACACUGGGACUGAGACACGGCCCAGACUCCUACGGGAGGCAGCAGUGGGGAAUUUUGGACAAUGGGCGCAAGCCUGAUCCAGCCAUGCCGCGUGUCUGAAGAAGGGCUUCGGGUUGUAAAGGACUUUUGUUAGGGAAGAAAAAGGAGCGGUUAAUACCCGUUUCUGCUGACG